CCUACGUGAGGCAGCAGUGGGGAAUAUUGGACAAUGGGGGCAACCCUGAUCCAGCCAUGCCGCGUGUGUGAAGAAGGCCCUCGGGUUGUAAAGCACUUUCAGUGAGGAAGAACGCCUGGUGGUUAAUACCCAUCAGGAAAGACAUCACUCACAGAAGAAGCACCGGCUAACUCCGUGCCAGCAGCCGCGGUAAUACGGAGGGUGCGAGCGUUAAUCGGAAUUACUGGGCGUAAAGCGCGCGUAGGUGGCUUGAUAAGCCGGUUGUGAAAGCCCCGGGCUCAACCUGGGAACGGCAUCCGGAACUGUCAAGCUAGAGUGCAGGAGAGGAAGGUAGAAUUCCCGGUGUAGCGGUGAAAUGCGUAGAGAUCGGGAGGAAUACCAGUGGCGAAGGCGGCCUUCUGGACUGACACUGACACUGAGGUGCGAAAGCGUGGGUAGCAAACAGGAUUAGAUACCCCAGUAGUC
rnacentral:rRNA from 1 species